rnacentral:sRNA from 1 species
GUGAGUGAAGCUGGUUGAGCCGUUCCCCAUGCCAACCCCCGGUGCCAGGGAUCGAGGAGGAGCGCCAGGACCUGACCACAGCACUGGGGUUAGUGAAGGAGCUACUGUCCAAUGUGGACCAGGAUAUUUAUGACCUGGAGAAAGGGGCCCGUCUGCAGGAGAUCUACAACCGCAUGGACCCUCGGGCCCAAACCCCAGUGCCUGGCAAGGGCCCCUUUGGCCGAGAGGAACUUCUGCGGCGCAGACUCAUCCACGAUGGCUGCCUGCUCUGGAAGACAGCGACAGGGCGCUUCAAAGAUGUGCUAGUGCUGCUGAUGACAGAUGUACUGGUGUUUCUCCAGGAAAAGGACCAGAAGUACAUCUUUCCUACCCUGGACAAGCCCUCAGUGGUAUCGCUGCAGAAUCUAAUCGUACGGGACAUUGCCAACCAGGAGAAAGGGAUGUUUCUCAUCAGCGCAGCCCCACCUGAGAUGUACGAGGUGUACACAGCAUCCCGGGAUGACCGGAGCACCUGGAUCCGGGUCAUUCAGCAGAGCGUGCGCUUAUGCCCAUCCAGGGAGGACUUCCCCCUGAUUGAGACAGAGGAUGAGGCUUACCUGCGGCGAAUUAAGAUGGAGUUGCAGCAGAAGGACCGGGCA